CUUUCUGCGGGAGCUCGCUGCCGGCGCCCAGGUGUCCUGACACGCCCCGCAAGGUUCCACGCUUUGUUCUCUAUCCUGCCCUCGUUUUGCAUGUAGUCUGCGUGACUUGGGCCUCUAUCUUUCCUACGGCUGCAUCCCUCAGUCCUGCGUUCAUGUCACCGUAGUGUGGAGAUGGCAUUCGGGACAAUGUGCUGUGACCUCGCACUGACGCCAUUCCCUUCCCACCCCGCCAACCUGGCUUCCUCCUCCACCCCAUGGAAUAAACCAGAUGGCUGCCAGUGGGAGGGAAAUAGGGCCCCAAGGUUAAUGAGGCAGUCCCUUACAUUUAUGGGUGGAAUUUCUGUUUCUAUGAUGAAUGUAUGGAUUUUGGAUGACCGCCUCUUAAGGUGAUACUUAAGGUGAUACUAUAUAGAGAUCCAUCCAGUUUCGGGGAAGACAUAUAUAUAUACACAUACACACAGUUAAUAUUAAAAAGAUGAUGUGCUAAAUCCUAUAUAAAUGCGGAAUCUAUAACAGAGAGGAGGGGCAAAAGGUGUACACAGGCUAUGAAAACGUUUGGUGGAGCAGGGCCCUGAGCUGGCCCUUUAAAAAUGGAUAGGAUUCGUUAAGACCCUUGUCUGAAUUGGUAGAGCCUUCCAGAGUUCUGAAAAUGAUCAGGGGGGUCGUUUUGCAGACAAAAUCCGUUAAGAAUUACUGUGAAAACCUGGAAGCCUAAAGUUUUAAGAUAUGUCAAAUUAUUUUUCAGGUGACCUGUACUGUCAAAUAGUACUACAUUUAUCAGACGUAUAUAAUCCAAAAUAAUUUGUCCACCUAUAAAACGCUAAUUUACCUCGGAAUUCUCUUGCAGAUGUUCACACAAUUUAUGGCACACCAGCGGGUAAAUGUUUGUUGCUUUAAAUGUUUUAUCGAAAAGAAUUUGUGUUUGGGGAACUCAAAUGAUGCAGCUUGAAUUAGUCUCCAGGGAUAAAUCCAUAGGAUCCUGAAUUUCUUCAGUUUUAACACUCAACACACUUUAAUGUAAUUACUACUUUUAAUACACUGUCUUCCCUGCUAUACUCUAAGCUCUGAGGGAGCAGAGACCUUGUUGUGUGGAUUCCCAGCACCUGGCAUGCUGCCUUGAUGCAUAGCAGACACUCAUUAAGUAUUGCUCAACCAGGAAUGAAUGAUCAAGCGUUGAAUUUGUGCCUAUGUGGAACCUAUGACCUAUCUUUAUACUUCCUUGUUUUCAACUUUUUAAUUAAUAAACAAACAAGGGAAGUGUGCCCCAGGGAACACUAGAGCUGGUUAAACUAGCCUCUGCUAAUAUUUGAAUACCUCUGUGGCUCAGGCAGUUUUUAGUGUUUUGGCAAAAUCUGAAUGUCACCGAACCCUGAAAUUUAUUGAUGUUGUCUCCUAAUAUGUCUGUUUUAGCUUUCUAAAUAAUUCAUUUAAACAAUGCAGGCGGUAGAGUGGAAAGGACCCUAAACUAAGCUUCAGGGUACCCUGGGUUCUUCUCCGAAGGCUAUUGCUCAUUUUACUUCUUUGAGCCUUUGUUUCUUAAUGUGUAAGGAGAAAGGGAUGGACUAGGUCAUUGCUGAGGUUCUUUUUAGCUCUAAGCCUCCACUAUCCCCUCAGUUCCUUGCAGGAACGUAAUUCUGGGGCAUACAACACUAUCUCACUCCUCACUUCCCACACACAACCUCCCCUUCCGCUGGGCCCCAUUCAGGGUCUGUGUUUUCCAUACAGUUUUCCAUAUCACCAUACAGCUGGUGAUAGGUAAAAAUAGUUUUUUUCUGACUAUGAGACAAAUUGACUGAAAGCUGUCAGGAGAGCUUGCCCUUCAAGUUGUCUUUCCAUUAAUGAUGAUGGGUUUAAUGAUUCCAUCCGGAUUCUUUCUGGUUUCGCUCAUGACUGCAUGCCAACCCAAAGGGAAGAAAUAUAGAAACCCUGACAAAAGGUCUAUGGACUGACUGGUGUAACGUAAACAUGAUCAAAUGUAAACCUAGAACUUUGAGAAUGAGUGUCAAAACACCACCCAAGUGGCCUGGAAUUUAGGAGACUAUUUGACAUUUCGUCACUUACAGUAAUUAAACUGGGAGACUUCAGGGGACCUGGCAUUUCAGACAUGAAAAGAAGGAAGAAAAGCUAUGUGGACUGAGAAUGGACUCACAGUGUGAAUUCAGGGAAUUUCUGUGGGUAGAACGCAAGGUCCGAUGGUUUAUAGAAAAAGUUUCAGAGUUUUAUUUAUUAUUAAAACAACAUUAAGAAAUGUUUCAACAGGAAAAUUUUUUUUCACUCCCUUUCUUACAAAUUAACGCAUUUUCAUUUGCCUCGAUUUAUUUCAAUCAGUAACCAUAUGGUCAGUAAGUAUUUUAUUUCUCAAUUUUAAGAUCUUUGUGGUCAGGUCAAGAUAUUGUUAGAAAUAAUGUAAAGACAAUGGAAUAUUACUUAGCAGUAAAAAGAAACAAAAUUGAGUUAUUUGUAGUGAGGUGGAUGGACCUAGAGUCUGUCAUACAGAGUGAAGUAAGUC
rnacentral:lncRNA from 1 species